CAGCUCUGUGUGCUGAAGAGACUGCACCCAUCCAUAUGAUCCACAUUGCACACAUCAUUUGGGUGAUAUGGAUGUAAGAUGAUUACAGAAGUGACACUGAUCUGUGUUUUUGUUUGUUAUUUUUAAAGAAAGGGCCGAGCAGAUUCCAAAAACAAAGCCAGUGUGGCAGGGUUCAAAUUUGUAUUAUU